rnacentral:rRNA from 1 species
ACUGAGCGGCGGACGGGUGAGUAACGCGUGGGCAACCUGCCUUACACAGGGGGAUAACAGUUAGAAAUGACUGCUAAUACCGCAUAAGACCACAAAACCGCAUGGUUUAGUGGUAAAAACUCCGGUGGUGUAAGAUGGGCCCGCGUCUGAUUAGGUAGUUGGUGGGGUAACGGCCUACCAAGCCGACGAUCAGUAGCCGACCUGAGAGGGUGACCGGCCACAUUGGGACUGAGACACGGCCCAGACUCCUACGGGAGGCAGCAG